rnacentral:rRNA from 1 species
GGGUUGUGAGGUUAAGCGACUAAGCGUACACGGUGGAUGCCCUGGCAGUCAGAGGCGAUGAAGGACGUGCUAAUCUGCGAAAAGCGUCGGUAAGGUGAUAUGAACCGUUACAGCCGGCGAUGUCCGAAUGGGGAAACCCAGUGCAAUUCGUUGCACUAUCGUUAACUGAAUACAUAGGUUAACGAGGCGAACCGGGGGAACUGAAACAUCUAAGUACCCCGAGGAAAAGAAAUCAACCGAGAUUCCCCCAGUAGCGGCGAGCGAACGGGGAGCAGCCCAGAGUCUGAAUCAGCUUGUGUGUUAGUGGAACGGUCUGGAAAGUCCGACGGUACAGGGUGAUAGUCCCGUACACCAAAAUGCACAGGCUGUGAACUCGAAGAGUAGGGCGGGACACGUGGUAUCCUGUCUGAAUAUGGGGGGACCAUCCUCCAAGGCUAAAUACUCCUGACUGACCGAUAGUGAACCAGUACCGUGAGGGAAAGGCGAAAAGAACCCCGGCGAGGGGAGUGAAAAAGAACCUGAAACCGUGUACGUACAAGCAGUGGGAGCACCUUCGGGUGUGACUGCGUACCUUUUGUAUAAUGGGUCAGCGACUUAUAUUCUGUAGCAAGGUUAACCGUAUAGGGGAGCCGCAGGGAAACCGAGUCUUAACUGGGCGUUAAGUUGCAGGGUAUAGACCCGAAACCCGGUGAUCUAGCCAUGGGCAGGUUGAAGGUUGGGUAACACUAACUGGAGGACCGAACCGACUAAUGUUGAAAAAUUAGCGGAUGACUUGUGGCUGGGGGUGAAAGGCCAAUCAAACCGGGAGAUAGCUGGUUCUCCCCGAAAGCUAUUUAGGUAGCGCCUCGUGAAUUCAUCUUCGGGGGUAGAGCACUGUUUCGGCUAGGGGGUCAUCCCGACUUACCAACCCGAUGCAAACUACGAAUACCGAAGAAUGUUAUCACGGGAGACACACGGCGGGUGCUAACGUCCGUCGUGAAGAGGGAAACAACCCAGACCGCCAGCUAAGGUCCCAAAGUCAUGGUUAAGUGGGAAACGAUGUGGGAAGGCACAGACAGCCAGGAUGUUGGCUUAGAAGCAGCCAUCAUUUAAAGAAAGCGUAAUAGCUCACUGGUCGAGUCGGCCUGCGCGGAAGAUGUAACGGGGCUAAACCAUGCACCGAAGCUGCGGCAGCGACACUAUGUGUUGUUGGGUAGGGGAGCGUUCUGUAAGCCUGCGAAGGUGACCUGUGAGGGUUGCUGGAGGUAUCAGAAGUGCGAAUGCUGACAUAAGUAACGAUAAAGCGGGUGAAAAGCCCGCUCGCCGGAAGACCAAGGGUUCCUGUCCAACGUUAAUCGGGGCAGGGUGAGUCGACCCCUAAGGCGAGGCCGAAAGGCGUAGUCGAUGGGAAACAGGUUAAUAUUCCUGUACUUGGUGUUACUGCGAAGGGGGGACGGAGAAGGCUAUGUUAGCCGGGCGACGGUUGUCCCGGUUUAAGCAUGUAGGCUGGUUAUCCAGGCAAAUCCGGAUAAUCAAGGCUGAGGUGUGAUGACGAGGCACUACGGUGCUGAAGUAACAAAUGCCCUGCUUCCAGGAAAAGCCUCUAAGCAUCAGGUAACAUUAAAUCGUACCCCAAACCGACACAGGUGGUCAGGUAGAGAAUACCAAGGCGCUUGAGAGAACUCGGGUGAAGGAACUAGGCAAAAUGGUGCCGUAACUUCGGGAGAAGGCACGCUGGUGUGUAGGUGAAGUCCCUGCGGAUGGAGCUGAGACCAGUCGAAGAUACCAGCUGGCUGCAACUGUUUAUUAAAAACACAGCACUGUGCAAACACGAAAGUGGACGUAUACGGUGUGACGCCUGCCCGGUGCCGGAAGGUUAAUUGAUGGGGUUAUCCGUAAGGAGAAGCUCUUGAUCGAAGCCCCGGUAAACGGCGGCCGUAACUAUAACGGUCCUAAGGUAGCGAAAUUCCUUGUCGGGUAAGUUCCGACCUGCACGAAUGGCGUAAUGAUGGCCAGGCUGUCUCCACCCGAGACUCAGUGAAAUUGAACUCGCUGUGAAGAUGCAGUGUACCCGCGGCAAGACGGAAAGACCCCGUGAACCUUUACUAUAGCUUGACACUGAACAUUGAGCCUUGAUGUGUAGGAUAGGUGGGAGGCUUUGAAGCGUGGACGCCAGUCUGCGUGGAGCCAACCUUGAAAUACCACCCUUUAAUGUUUGAUGUUCUAACGUUGGCCCCUGACCGGGGUUGCGGACAGUGUCUGGUGGGUAGUUUGACUGGGGCGGUCUCCUCCCAAAGCGUAACGGAGGAGCACGAAGGUUAGCUAAUCCUGGUCGGACAUCAGGAGGUUAGUGCAAUGGCAUAAGCUAGCUUGACUGCGAGCGUGACGGCGCGAGCAGGUGCGAAAGCAGGUCAUAGUGAUCCGGUGGUUCUGAAUGGAAGGGCCAUCGCUCAACGGAUAAAAGGUACUCCGGGGAUAACAGGCUGAUACCGCCCAAGAGUUCAUAUCGACGGCGGUGUUUGGCACCUCGAUGUCGGCUCAUCACAUCCUGGGGCUGAAGUAGGUCCCAAGGGUAUGGCUGUUCGCCAUUUAAAGUGGUACGCGAGCUGGGUUUAGAACGUCGUGAGACAGUUCGGUCCCUAUCUGCCGUGGGCGCUGGAGAAUUGAGGGGGGCUGCUCCUAGUACGAGAGGACCGGAGUGGACGCAUCACUGGUGUUCGGGUUGUCAUGCCAAUGGCACUGCCCGGUAGCUAAAUGCGGAAGAGAUAAGUGCUGAAAGCAUCUAAGCACGAAACUUGCCCCGAGAUGAGUUCUCCCUGAGACUUUAAGUCUCCUGAAGGAACGUUAAAGACGAUGACGUUGAUAGGCCGGGUGUGUAAGCGCAGCGAUGCGUUGAGCUAACCGGUACUAAUGAACCGUGAGGCUUAACCUUACAACGCCGAAG